rnacentral:rRNA from 1 species
UAAAGCGAAUAAGGGCGUAUGGUGGAUGCCUUGGGUCUGAGAGGCGAUGAAGGACGUGGUAAGCUGCGAUAAGCUUCGGGGAGCUGCACACAAGCGUUAUAUCCGAAGAUUUCCGAAUGGGACAACCCAGCACACUGAAGGUGUGUUAUCCGAAAGGAAGCCAACCUCCUGAACUGAAACAUCUAAGUAGGGAGAGGAAAAGAAAAUAACAAUGAUUCCCUGAGUAGUGGCGAGCGAAACGGGAAGAGCCCAAACUUGAGCGGCGUGCCGCUUGAGGGUUGUAGGACUGCAUUUAGAAGCUCUCAUCAAACUGAAUCUUCUGGAAAGUUGAACCAUAGCAGGUGAUAGUCCUGUAGGUAGAAAUUGAGAGGGACGAGCAGUAUCCUGAGUACGGCGGGACCGGAGGAAUCCUGCCUGAAUCUGCCAGCACCAUCUGGUAAGGCUAAAUACUCCUCAGACACCGAUAGUGAACCAGUACCGUAAGGGAAAGGUGAAAAGAACCCCGAAACAGGGGAGUGAAAUAGUACCUGAAACCGUACGCUUACAAGCGGUCGGAGUCCAGCAAUGGAUGACGGCGUGCCUUUUGCAUAAUGAACCUACGAGUUACUCCUCACUGGCGAGGUUAAGUUCUUUAGUAACGGAGCCGAAGCGAAAGCGAGUCCGAACAGGGCGCUUAGUCAGUGGGGGUAGACGCGAAACUUUGUGAUCUAUCCAUGGGCAGGAUGAAGGAGGGGUAACACUCUCUGGAGGUCCGAACUCAUUAACGUUGAAAAGUUAUGGGAUGACCUGUGGAUAGGGGUGAAAGGCCAAUCAAACUGAGAGAUAGCUCGUUCUCCCCGAAAUGUUUUUAGGAACAGCCUCGGAUAUAAGAAGUGUGUAAGAGGUAGAGCUACUGAUUGGGCUAGGGGGCUUCACCGCCUACCAAACCCUGACAAACUCCGAAUGCUUACACAUAUCUCCGGGAGUGAGGCUGCGGGCGCUAAGGUCCGUGGCCGAGAGGGAAAUAACCCAGAUUAGCAACUAAGGUCCCUAAUACGUAGUUAAGUUGAACAAACGAGGUAGGACUUCUAUAACAGCCAGGAUGUUUGCUUGGAAGCAGCAAUUCAUUUAAAGAGUGCGUAACAGCUCACUGGUCGAGAGGUCCCGCACGGAAAAUGAUCGGGCAUCAAACUACGAACCGAAGUUCUAAAAUUACUACCAUGUAGUUAAUUGGUAGGGGAGCAUUGAAAUCUGCUGCGAAGGUGUCUGGUGAUGGAUGCUGGAGCGAUUUCAAAAGAAAAUGUAGGUAUGAGUAGCGAUAAAAGUAGUGAAAAACUACUUCGCCGUAAGUCCAAGGUUUCCUGAUCAACGUUAAUCGGAUCAGGGUUAGUCGGGUCCUUAGGCAAACCCGAAAGGGGUAGUCGAUGGAAAGUUGGUUAAUAUUCCAACACUU